UACGAAGGGUGCAAGCGUUACUCGGAAUUACUGGGCGUAAAGCGUGCGUAGGUGGUUUGUUAAGUCUGUUGUGAAAGCCCCGGGCUCAACCUGGGAAUGGCAAUGGAUACUGGCAGGCUAGAGUGCGGUAGAGGGUAGUGGAAUUCCCCGGUGUAGCGGUGAAAUGCGUAGAGAUCGAGAGGAACACCAGUGGCGAAGGCGGCUACCUGGACCAGCACUGACACUGAGGCACGAAGCGUGGGAGCAAACAGG
rnacentral:rRNA from 1 species